AUCCAUUCAUCUGCUGAUGGGCAUCUAGGCUAGUUCAGUGUCUUGACUACUGCGAACUGUGUCACAUAAACAAGGGUAUGCAGGUAUCUACAUGAUG
rnacentral:miRNA from 1 species